AAACAGCGAUGCCGCGUGAGUGAAGAAGGCCUUUGGGUUGUAAAGCUCUUUCGUCGGGGAAGAAAAUGACUGUACCCGAAUAAUAAGGUCCGGCUAACUUCGUGCCAGCAGCCGCGGUAAUACGAAGGGACCUAGCGUAGUUCGGAAUUACUGGGCUUAAAGAGUUCGUAGGUGGUUGAAAAAGUUAGUGGUGAAAUCCCAGAGCUUAACUCUGGAACUGCCAUUAAAACUUUUCAGCUAGAGUAUGAUAGAGGAAAGCAGAAUUUCUAGUGUGGAGGUGAAAUUCGUAGAUAUUAGAAAGAAUACCAAUUGCGAAGGCAGCUGUUCUGAAUCAUCACGUACACCGAGGAAGGAAAGCCUGGGUAGCGAAAAGGAUUAGAUUCCCUGGUA
rnacentral:rRNA from 1 species